rnacentral:rRNA from 1 species
AUUGAACGCUGGCGGCAUGCCUUACACAUGCAAGUCGAACGGUAACGCGGGGCAACCUGGCGACGAGUGGCGAACGGGCGAGUAAUGCAUCGGAACGUGCCCAGUAGUGGGGGAUAGCCCGGCGAAAGCCGGAUUAAUACCGCAUACGACCUUCGGGUGAAAGGGGGGGAUCGCAAGACCUCUCGCUAUUGGAGCGGCCGAUGUCAGAUUAGGUAGUUGGUGGGGUAAAAGCCUACCAAGCCGACGAUCUGUAGCUGGUCUGAGAGGACGACCAGCCACACUGGGAAUGGGACACGGCCCAGACUCCUACGGGAGGCAGCAGUGGGGAAUUUUGGACAAUGGGCGCAAGCCUGAUCCAGCCAUGCCGCGGGCGGGAAGAAGGCCUUCGGGUUGUAAACCGCUUUUGUCAGGGAAGAAACGCUUCGAGCUAAUACCUCGGAGUAAUGACGGUACCUGAAGAAUAAGCACCGGCUAACUACGUGCCAGCCGCCGCGGUAA